GUGGCCUAGUGGUUAGAGCGUCCGCCUCGGAUGCGGGAGGUCGUGGGUUCUCUCCAGGGUCAAGUCAUACAAAAGACU